GGGGGCGGCAUCACAUGUGCAGACCGAGGGGCGCAUAAGCUGCAGCAUGGAGGGUGGUGACGGUAAGGAGCCGGAGCAGCUCAGGAAGCUGUUUAUCGGCGGACUCAGUUUUGAGACCACAGAGGACAGUUUGCGAGCUCACUUUGAGCAAUGGGGCAAACUCACUGACUGUGUGGUAAUGAGAGAUCCAGCUAACAAGCGCUCACGAGGUUUCGGCUUUGUGACGUAUUCCUGUGUAGCGGAGGUUGAUGCUGCUAUGGCAGCGCGGCCACACAAAGUGGACGGUCGAGUCGUUGAGCCCAAACGAGCCGUUUCCCGAGAGGACUCCAAUAAACCUGGAGCCCAUCUGACAGUGAAAAAGAUCUUUGUGGGUGGAAUCAAGGAGGACACAGAGGAGUAUCAUAUCAGAGAGCACUUUGAGUGCUAUGGGAAGAUUGAGAUUAUUGAUAUAAUGGAGGAGCGUUCAACUGGGAAAAAGAGAGGAUUCUGCUUCGUCACCUUUGAUGAUCACGAUGCUGUGGAUAAAAUUGUUGCACAGAAAUAUCACACAAUCAACUCGCAUAACUGUGAAGUCAGAAAAGCACUACCGAAGCAGGAGAUGCAAGCUGUUUCUAAUCAGAGAUAUCGCGGUGGAGGCAAUUUCAUGGGCAGAGGAGGAGGAAACUUUGGCCGAGGAGGGUAUGGAGGAGGCCGGGGUGGCUGUGGAGGAGAUGGAUACAAUGGAUUUGGUGGUAAUUAUGGUGGGGGUCCUGGAGGAUGCGGUGGAGGUCCUGGAUACGGGAACCAAGGCGGAGGAGGCUUUGGAGGAUAUGACAAUUACAAUGAUGGAGGAAAUUUUGGAGGUAACUUUGGUGGUGGAGGUGGAGGCGGCGGCGGAGGACGAGGAAAUUACAACGAUUUUGGGAAUUACGCAGGACAACAGUCCAACUGCGGCCCCAUGAAGGGAAAUAACUUUGGAGGAAGAAACUCAGGACCUUACGGAGGUGGAAACGGCUCUGGGGGCGGCGGCGGGGGCUAUGGGCCCAGGAGAUAUUAACAGAUCGGUUUGUCUGUGGUAAGUUCAGCACUGCCUCAAGAGACUCCACAGACGUCUAACACGGGAUGACUUGUGAUGUUUUACCCUGUGUCUGUUCAACAGGCCUCAGAUCCAGAGUUAGAUGAGAGGAGUGGGAAGGAAAGGAAAGAUUACUGAGAAAGUGUGCGAGGGGCCAAGAUCUGCCAGUUAUAGGUCUUACUAACGUUAGUGUAGUCAGACGCUCCUCAACUUGUGUGUGUGUGCUAGUGGAUGUACAUUCCUUCACCCGCUUGACUUUUCUGUGCUUUUCACCUAUCCUCAGCCCCUUGUGAGCAUUUUUGAGAGUGCUGCCAAACACUGUAGUCAGAAUAGUCCUAAAUAUUAUUUGAUGUGAGUAUACAAUAUGUGAGUAUACAAUAUGCCUUAAGUAUAUUAUUUGGAGAAAACAGGACUUGUUUAUUUUUUGAUUUGACGACGGUGAUGUCACGUGUAUUAUUAUAUAUUGUGAGUAUGUAGUACAUGUGUUGUUCAUGAAGCUCUGAAUGGUAAACGGAGUAGAUUUUGUCAGAUCUGAGGGCAUGUGACAUGUUAAACCUGUAAAGAGAGAAGUCUAGAUUGUUGAACUAUUUUUGACAAAUGAAAAAAGAAACUGGCUGAAAUAAAGUUGUGUAGUAACUUGCCUAACGAAGUUCAGUGCGUCAUUGAGUCUGAAGUGGCGAGUGCCGCUGUCCUGAGCGCGUGUUGUUGUGUAUGAGCGUAGAAAGGCCUCCAGGCCCAGACAGACGAACAGUUAUGGGCUCUCAGACUGGCAGGUCGAUCCCAGCCUCGACUGGACCAGGCAGCCAGUGUGUCUCCAGAAAACUAGCAUCUGUUUCGGUGAGACUAGCUGUACCCGAAGGAAGGAAGGCUAGCGGAAAGCCCACGAGUAUGAGGGUUUGAGACAGACAGAAGAAGAGGAAGAAAGAGUCAUAGGAGCAGGUGUCACGAACUGUGUCGGAGGGAACGAAUGCGGAGACGUGGAUCAAAGAAGUCUUUAAUAAAUCCAAACACAGGGGAUAGCCACAACAAGGAAUGGCUGGUGACACACGAACAUGACGAUUUAGACCCGACAAAGACAGACAGCACAGACUGGGACUUAAAUACAUGGGGUAAUGAGGACAAUUAACACGACACACCUGAAUCACAUGAACACGAUCAACAAGAGACAGAAACUGGGUCACUGAGAGCACAUGGGGAAGGAAAACAUACACACAGACAGU